CUUUCCUGCUAGACUCUGAGCUCAAAGAGAAUUCAAGUGUCUGUAUUGGUGAAGGCAAAAGUCCUGCUUGAUUGAGGCCUCCAUAGCCUGUGACUCCAUCUGAGCAGUGUCCCUUCAGAAGCUGCUUAAACAUUUCCCUGAGCUUACAGAAUUGCACUGCACUCUGGUGAGAAAAGCUGCAAGGGCAAGUCUAAUGACAAAUGGAAGGCAAAGAGGUCCCAAAGAGUGAUGUGCUCUGAUGCCGUGAGGACUCUGAGGCUCCAUGCUGAAUCAAAGCAAUGAAGCCAGAGGCAUUCCUCUCCCUGCUGGGAAUAGCUUAAUACCCCCAGCC